GUCCACGCCGUAAACGAUGGUCACUAGGUGUGUGCGGUAUCGACCCCGCACGUGCCGCAGCUAACGCAUGAAGUGACCCGCCUGGGGAGUACGGCCGCAAGGUUGAAACUCAAAGGAAUUGACGGGGGCCCGCACAAGCGGUGGAGCAUGUGGAUUAAUACGUCACUAACCGUAGAACCUUACCCAGGCUUGACAUCCCGGGAACCCUGGUGAAAGCUGGGGGUGCCUCGCAAGAGGAGCCCGGAGACAGGUGUUGCAUGGCUGUCGU
rnacentral:rRNA from 1 species